UAAAAGUCGUACAAGGUUUCCGUAGGUGACCUGCGGA
rnacentral:rRNA from 1 species